GUCCGGUCAGCUCCCUCCCACCCCCCAACCAUCGCCGCUCCUUCAACCGACGUCUUUCCUUCUCGCUCUUCCCGCUAAAACAAUAGACCCCAUAAUAACAACACCUCACCCCAAAACUCGAAACCUCAAUGGCGGAAUUCUCAGUUCGACCCCAUAAUAACCCCUUUCUCCGUCACUCGCUUGAUUUCUCAUUCCCAUCUCCUUCGAUUAAGCAUCUGAUUUCACUGUGGCACCAAGGAGAAAGAAAAUGUCAAGGUCAACGAAGAGAUUUCCCCUGUUCUUUUCCGUCUCCGUGUCGAUGAAUCGGGGCGAAUUGGGUCCAUUACGAAAUCUAAAAACGACUCGAGCUAUGGAAAUGGAUUGGAUGAAGUGGGGUUUGAUUCGAAUUGGCCGCCGUGGAAGAAUGCUCCUGAUAGAUAUAAAUUGAUCGGAACCCCAGCGCUUGCCUUCAUUAUUUCCAACAUGUAUAAGAUCAUUGGUUGCUAGAUUUCCAAUGUCGCGCCUGCUUGGGGGAAUUCUUUGCUUUGUCCCAGUUGCCUGGUCGGUGGCUUGCCUAGAUAUUUGGAGGGAGGUUGCAGUAUCGAGAGCCUUCAAUAAAGGUAGACAUGUAUAUCUCGAUAGUAGCUAACUGAGUAUGAACAAUUACACGAAAAAUGUCAAUAUCGAUUCUUAUUUAUCUUUCUGUCCUCGAUAAAAAGAAUUGUUUUCUUCAAUAAAAGAAGAAGGAUGUUGCUAUAGGGAAGCAAAAAUCUUUUGGCUUAACUCAGGAUCAGGCAUGGGAUGAUCUGUAGGUGAUCUGUUAUUGUCUGCCUCGCCUUGUCUCCUUAUUCCUGGUCUUAUACGAAUUCAU